rnacentral:lncRNA from 1 species
CUUCACCUCUCUUUUACCUUUAAAAAGUUUCUUUUUUUUUAUAAUGGAGAAACAAAUCAGUUCUUAAAACUUAAUUAAACAAAUUACAAAAUAGGUAGGAGUUUGCAAAUUAACCUUAGCUCAAAGCUCAUUUAGCUCUUAUAAAACAUUCAGAUUUUUUAUCUUCAAACUCACCUGUUCAAAGCAGAUUACAAUUUUUUUUCCUGCCUUAACUCCUUACUGACAUGGGCACUGUACCGCCAGAAACCCAGGCAAACUAUUAUCAGGGAAACUCCCUUGUUUUGCCUCCUCCUGACUCUGAGUCUAAAAACACCCAAUGACCCUUCUAGGGUCCUGAGAUGACUAUCUUCCUUUGAUCAUCCUCUAGAUGGACAGAAAGAUGCACCUGCAAGCCACACCUUGAUCCUAUCAGAUAUCUGUUUGUUCCCUAAAACUAAGGAAUCUUUAUGUCCCCAGGCAGACCCCAAUAUGAUCUCCCCACCUCAUGCCUGAGUGACUAACUCUGUUGUAAAAAGUAUAAAAUCCCCAGAACUGAUGUCAUCUGGGGGAACAGCUUUUCCUUUCAUGCUGUCCUCCCAAGGAACUGCUCCCCAUCUUGCUGUUCCACCUUGCUAUCCUCCUGGCCACUCUCAACAUUACUUUCUAAAUUAAUAAAUCUCUUUUUUGUUUUUAAGUUAAGUUUUGGAGUCUUGCAUGAUUGCAAAAGGUAUCUUUCCCGAACCCCAAGGUUAUCCUUCCUGCCAAUAACAUUUUGACGCCCAAAGUGUUUGGCUCUUCUGAAAGCUACUCCUGUACCCGGGAUCAUCCACGAGGACAUGGCUUCUCAGGUUUUUCACAAUAGAGACGUAGCUGAGACAGAAGGACAGAGACGGGAGAAACUCCUCAUGGCAGCUCUCACCUCUCUGACCUAUGAGCAGAGGCCAAGGGGCUCUUGCUACACCUGCAGACGGGAUGGGCACUGGUCGCAGGACUGUCCUUCGAAGGGAAGAUUGCCCACGACUCCGUGUCCAGCCUUUGGCCAACAGGGACACUGGAAACAGCAGUGCCCCACCAACCGGAGACCCCAGCGACCCCAGAGGCACAUUCCUGACCUCCAGUCUCCUGAGUACUCUGAAUAGGGCUGCCCUAGGGUUUGGG